CUUGUUCUACUAGGUGAUUUAUUUCAGGUAUUCAGGUACAAAAUGAUAGCGUUUUAUCAUUUCUAGCAGUCCUCUCCAAAGAGAUGAUGGUGUUUCUGACCACGGCAUAGACCUUGGAGUACUGCAAGAAUCCAGGUUCUGGCAGUCAUGAAAUAAUGAUGAACCUAAAAAUCGUCAUUAACAGAACCUUACCAGUAACCAAGUAAGUGAUAAAGUGGGUCUUACAUCACUACAGACCAUGUGAUCUUCAGAUAUCUGAGUGAGUAUGGUUUCCCUAACAGAGUGUCACUUUGUGUUUUUUGCAAGUGCCCUGUUAAGUCCUUUCCUAGUAUACGGGUAUGAGAUUAUGUGGCGUUAACUCAAUAGAGAGCUGCUUGUUUUUCAUAUAUGCAAAUGAUGUUUUCAAUACCAUGUUAACUAUGUUUUUGGCACGUAUGCAGUUCAGAAAUUAAUUUGACCCAAAUAGUACUAGUAAGCAUGAGAUUUUAGCAUCUUCUUAUUCAGAGAUGAUGUGUUUUUAUACACCCAUAGUGGUAGAUAGGCAGAAAUCCAGGUAAUUUAUCAUACUGUCCAUCACCGCAUUAUUGACUGUGGGAUUUUUGCAGGUAUCCCUUCAAGAGAGGAAGGUGUCUCUUACUAGGGCUUAACCUCAGAUUUCUGCCGUUAUCCAGGUUCACGUGAAGACCUCCCUAUGAGCCGGUUAGUGGUAGUUAUAGAUGUGUGCAUAGCAGGUAUUGAGGUAAGUGAUAAUGUGGGCCUAACCCACAGUACAGAUCAUAUGACCUUCAUACAUGUAAAUAAGUGACGAUGGUGUCCCUAACACUUGUGUUACCAUAUGUUUUUCCAGGUACCCUGUUCAGGUCUUUGAUAGUACAAAGGUAUGAGAUGAUAUAAUAUUAACUCAUCGAUGUUCUUAUUUUCAACUAUCUACGUAAUUGUUUUUAAGACUCCUCCUUCCCUUGUUUUUGGCAAGUAGAAGUUAAAUUAAUUUGACCCUGACCGUGGGGGACGGGAAGGGAGAAAACCUAGUUACACAGAGGGAGAGAGGCAAACUAUAAGAGACUCUUAAAUACAGAGAAUGAACUGAGGGUUGAUGGGGGGGGGAGGGGAAAAUGGGUGAUGGGCAUUGAGGAGGACGCUUGCUGGGAUGAGCACUGGGUGUUGUAUGUAAGCGAUGACUCACGGGAAUCUACCCCCAAAACCAAGAGCACACUGUAUACACUCUAUGUCAGCCAACUUGACAAUAAAUUACAUUUUUUUAAUUAAUUUUUGACCCUAAUAAUACUAGCAAGCAGUUUUUAUUUUCUUAUCUGGAGAUAACGUGUAUUUCUCACUCAUAGUGGUAUGUCAGAUAUCUAAGUCACGUAUCAUAUUUUUCUAACUGCAUUAUUAACCAUGGAAUGUUUGCAGGUAUCCCUUCAAGAGAGGAAAGUGUGUCUGACUAGGGUUUAACUUCAGAGUUCUGGAAGUGUCCAGGUAAUGUUUAUGGGUCUCCAAAGGAUACAAGUGACCAGGGAAUUUGCAGGUGCAUGGGUAGAGUGAGACAUGUCCCAAACGUAAACCACAGUAUGUUUUUCAGAACAUGCCAAGAGAUCACAAUGAGCCUAUCUAUAGCAGUUAAUGGGGGGGACAUCACUGGUAUUAAGGUAAGUGCUGCUCUGGCCCUAACCCAUGACACAGACCAUCUGAUCUUCGUGUAUUUAGGUAAGUGAUGACAUGUGCUGCCACUUUUUAUUACCAUGAUUUUGUUGCAGGUAUUCAGGUAAGAAGGAAGAAUCUUGCCAAUUCUAGAGACUGUAAAUUAAGAGAUAAUCGUGUCUCUAAUGGUGAGAUCAGCCUACCUAAGGUUACUGGUAGACUUAAUGAGUCCCGCAGUGAUACAAGGGACAAGGUUCUUACCAGGGUCCAGGUAAUAAAAGUGUUGUCAUAUCACAUCUGUUCAGGUGUGUUUUUCAGGUCACUGUUAAGAUACGAUGGUAAGCUUCAUAAAGAUGAUGAAAGGGAUUUUGUUUGUAUCCGGGUAAGUGAUGAUGAUAGCCUUUUCCAUGUAAUAGACCAUCUAAUAUUCAAUAUCUAUGUAAGUACGGAUGGUGCUCCUAACUUUGUGUUGCUGGGGGUUUUUUUGUGUUUUUUUGCAAGUAUUUGGCUAAGAAAUGAUAUUGUUAGUCAAUGCUAGUAAGCAUUAGCCCUUUCUUUAAAAUUUUUUAAAUUUAUUUGUUUUGAGAGACAGCGCGAGCAUGAGCGCAGGAAGGGCAGAAAGCGGGAGAGAGAAAGAAUCCCAAGCAGGAUCUGCAGUGUCAGCACGGAGCCCGAUGCAGGACUCGAACUCACGAAGCAUGAGAUCAUGACCUGAGCCUAAAUCAAGAGUAGGACGUUUAACUGACUGAGCCCCCCAGGUGCCCCAGCCCUUAUUAUUUUAAAGCUUAGAUACAUUUGUAAAGCCUCAGUAGUGACAGAGAUAACACAAGUAUAUAGGUAAGUUACUGACCAUCUCCUGUUUAUUGACCAUGGAUUCUUACACUAGUCUUGUCGAGACAGUAUUGUGUCUCUAACUGGAGGCUGACCUUGAACUCUGCAAGUUUCUAGGUAGAUUUGAUAGGCCUCAUAAAUUCGAUGGGAUUUUGCAGGUGUUCAGGUAAUACAUGUAUUCCUAACACAGUUUUUGCCAUGAAUUUUUGUAGAACCCGAUCAAGAGAUAAUGGAAGGCCUUACAUCCUCUCUUGAUUAGAUACCAGAAAAAUCCCAAAUUACCUACUGUGGUCACGAAGAGCACUGGGUGAUGUAUGGAAUUGUUGAAUCACUGUAUUGUAUGCCUGAAAUGAAUAUUAUACUGCAUGUUAACUUUACUGGAAUUAAAAUUUUAAAAAUACAUAUAUAAGGGGAUUCAAACACAAUCCCAGUGAAAAAAUGACCUAUUCAAGUCAUGGAACAAGAUUUUCCAUUUUCAACAGCUGCCUAUGAAAAAAAUCUUGCUCCAAUUCCUAAAAUGAGAAAAAGCAAAAAAUAAAAUCGAAUGAAUGAAUGAAUGAAUGAAUUAGUAAAUAAAUCAAUACAUAUUGUUGUCAGUUGAACCAUCAUCUCUUGAUUUGUAUUUUUACAGACACCCGCUCAAGAGGAGAUCAUGUCUCUAUUCCAGGGUCUUGUCCCUGGAGCUUUGCAGGUGUCCAGGUAAUGUGUCCCUAAUCCAGAUAACGAUCAUGGGAUUUUGCAGUUAUCCAAGCAAGAGACGACAUGGCCCUGCCAUGAUCUUGAUUCCCCUGCACGUGUCUAGGUAUCCAGACUUUUAAGGUAUUCUGGGAAGAGAUGAUGAUGGUCCUAACUACACUAAUGACGGCAGAAAUUUGCACAUAUCCACUCAAGAGACGAUGGCAUCUCCGUCAACAUUGGUGGCUGUGGAGAUGGAAGAAAUGGAAUGCUUUUUUU